AAUGCCCUAAACCUUUAAAACCAGAUUAAAAACAUAAUUUGCUGAACAACCAAUCGGGAAAAAUGCUUUCUGCCUCUCAAUAAGAUUUUGUCAUUGUUUGGCAAGCAGUAUAUUGUAUUGACAGUAUUAUUAUAUUUUGCUACCUUUAUGUUUUACAAACCCUGAGGAAACUCUUUAGUCAAUCACUUACAGUAGCUUCAGGCUUGGAAUGUAAUUAAUUUGUAUUGAAGAAUUUGUAAUUGUAACUAUAAUUUGUAUCUGACUGUAUUGAAAGACAUUUAUGGAUGACUUUGCAUAUUACUUUUGGCAGAUGCUUUUAUCCAAAGCGACUUACAGUGCAUUCAGGCUAUGCAUUUUUUUUGUGUGUGUAUUUCCUGGGACUCGAACCAACAAACUUUUGCACUGCUAACGCAGUGCUCUACCACUUUUUAAAAAUGUUAAUAUUGAUCUAAUUUCAAAUACAUGGGCUGUCUUCAAUUGUUUGUUUGUUUUUGUUUUGCAGACCAUCUAUUCAGAGCAUGACCUGCAUUUUUUUCUCUGCAGCUGAACGCCUGGUUUUGGGUUUUCUCCAUGCAGCAGUUCUUCUGUAUUGUUCUUCCCACCCUCUCCCCAACCCACCAAAUAAUAAUAAUAAUAAUAAUAACUUAAUUCAUUUGAAUACUAAGUUGAUCAUUUGUGUUAAAAUACUACUGUUCUUUUAAAAGUUCAGUCAUUUUAAUACUAGGUUAAUAAUUUGUUUAAUCUGCUAUUGUUCAUUUCUUUGGAAAAAAGAGUUUGUUCCUUUUAAUACUAUAUUCUUAAUUUGUUUUACCUUCUACUGUUCUUUUUAUAAAAAAAAAAAUAAAAAAGUUCAUUAGCUGUAUUUGUAAGUCGUUCUUUUUCUUGUCAGUUAACUAAUCUUUUUUCCUGAGAAUACUUUGCAGGUUGUAUCACAUCAGCAUUUCGUGAAGUAAGUGACUGAAAAUAUCCUGUAAAAAAAGCUUAUUGAAUACAGUACUAUUUGACUGUAGCAUUAAAACCAUUUUACAGCCAUUUUUAAUCCGAGAUCUGUUCAAACACAAUGAAGAAAAUGUGACAGUUGCUUGCUAAACAUUUUAAGACAGUUUGCUUAUUCAACAGACAAUGUGAAAUCAUCUGCUCAUUAU
rnacentral:lncRNA from 1 species